GAAUCCAAACAAAGAGAAAGACCCUUUUCCCCGGGGUCCCCAAGGGCCCCCUACGGCAGCAUCUCUCUGCCUUGUCUGCUGAAGACCAGGGCCAGGCAGGGUUUGCUGAGGGCUGAGUCCUGCGUCUGGAAUGUUGAGUCAAAGAAACAAUUCUCAGGAUUGCAACAUACCACGGUAGCCUCGGUCAGCGCUCAAGGAAAGGAGCUAGAAUCAGAUGGACAUCGUUGACUUCGGAAUGGAACUAAGAUAUGAGUCCAAGAGUGAAGGACACCUCCUGGUCACAAGGCAUCAGAUGAUCAUUUCCCACUUUACCACCUCCAGACCCUUAUCUGAUUGAUUGAUUGAUUGAUUGGCUGUGGUUGAUUCCUGGGAUGUGCACGUGGCCUGUGUCCCAGCUGCUUAUGAGCCACAGCACGAAGCCUUGACAAAGUCAGCGGCGGAACCUUGUCUGGGGAGGAACAUGACUCCGUUUGCUGCUGCUACUGCUGCCCCCUGAUUCACAGAUGUUUCCGCGUGGGAUUCCGUGUCCAUAAGAUCGAGUGACUGAUCCAUAGUAUGUUAUAACUAAAGCCAGAGACGGACAUCAAAGAAAGUACAUUGAGGAAUGUUUAUAUAAUUCAAGGAAUUAUUAAUUCAUUCCGCUGCUGAUAUUUCUUUUGUCUAACCUUCACCGGGAGAGAGUAUAGGAUGGCCGUUGUAAGCCAGAUGCCUGACCUUGAACUCAGACUCUAGAGAGCACAGGUCUGU